GGGAGCCCAGAACUGGAAACAG
rnacentral:miRNA from 1 species